GUUUGGUUUGCCUGUUCUCUCUCUCUUUCUUAAUAGGUGAUGCAGUUCAGGUGUGCCGGUGUUGGCAGCAGGUUAAAAGCCUGCUUUCACAACAGUCAUGGUCGCUCCCUCCUCCCGGCGUGUUGGUUUUCUUUGUCCUUUGUUUGGUUUCACACAGACUGACUUUUGCAUGACACUUUGGGUUACUUUACAUUUAACUGAUUUACACCACACUUCUUUAUCUUUAUUCUAUUUAAUUAUAUGUAAAAUUAUCUUCUUACUAUAAUAAAAUCUUUUAUUAUUGUAAAA